GACAGAGGGAGGGAGGGAGUGGGUGACUAGUGACAGAGGGAGGGGGUGACACAGUGACAGAGUGAGGGAGGUGGUGACUGUCACUAGUCACCACCUCCCUCACUCUGUCCCUAGUCACCCCCUUCCUCACUGUCACUAGUCACCCCUUCCCUCCCUAACUCU